UUUGGGUCCUGAUGAAAGUCACUGUCGGUAGCAGGGAAUUCGUCACCGGAUGCGUCCUAUAUGUGAUGGGUGUGUUCCCAUCCAGUCGUUGGUGGGGUUGAUGUGCCCGUCGAUUCGGCGAUCCGCGGACCAAGCUCAUCUUCUCAGUGGCGGACCGAUGUUCUAUGGUAGUGGCAGUCAUUGUAUGUGGUGGUGCGGUUGCUGAUGUACAGGAGGCGUCCAUAGUGUUAGUUCUCCAUCGUCCAUGCUUAUCUUCUGUAUGCUCUAGCAGCCAGGUGGCUCAAGAAAUAGAAGACGACUCAUGUUCAGGUACGCUUAGAUUUUGAAUGGAGCUGAAGAAAUGAUCUGAAC